rnacentral:rRNA from 1 species
AUUGAACGCUGGCGGCAGGCCUAACACAUGCAAGUCGGACGGUAGCACAGAGGAGCUUGCUCCUCGGGUGACGAGUGGCGGACGGGUGAGUAAUGUCUGGGGAUCUGCCCGAUAGAGGGGGAUAACCACUGGAAACGGUGGCUAAUACCGCAUAACGUCGCAAGACCAAAGAGGGGGACCUUCGGGCCUCUCACUAUCGGAUGAACCUAGAUGGGAUUAGCUAGUAGGCGGGGUAACGUCCCACCUAGGCGACGAUCCCUAGCUGGUCUGAGGGGAUGACCAGCAACAGUGGAACUGGGACAGGGUCCAGAGUCCUACGGGAGGCAGCAGUGGGGAAUAUUGCACAAUGGGCGCAAGCCUGGUGCAGCCAUGCCGCGUGUAUGAAGAAGGCCUUCGGGUUGUAAAGUACUUUCAGCGGGGAGGAAGGCGAUGUGGUUAAUAACCGCGUCGAUUGACGUUACCCGCAGAAGAAGCACCGGCUAACUCCGUGCCAGCCGCCGCAGUAA